rnacentral:rRNA from 1 species
CUUCCCGUAGGGNGNCCUGCGGAAGGAUCAUUAGAGAACCUGGGCCUGCGCUACUUGCGCGGCUCCAACCAAUACACAGUGUGUUAUACUUCUUUUGCUUUGGCUCUGCCAAAGGUUUUAAACACAGAAAUUUAUUUUCUUUAAGAACAGUCAAUUUGAAAUUUUAAUCUUCAAAACUUUCAACAACGGAUCUCUUGGUUCUCGCAACGAUGAAGAACGCAGCGAAAUGCGAUACGUAAUGUGAAUUGCAGGUUUUCGUGAAUCAUCGAAUCUUUGAACGCAUAUUGCGCUCUCUGGCAUUCCAGAGAGCAUGCCUGUUUGAGCGUCAUUUCUCUCUCAAGAUCCUCUAGGGGACUUGGUAUUGAGUGAUACUCUGUGUUAACUUGAAAUACUCUAGGCAGAGCUCCCCCCUGGAAAUCCUCUGGGCCGAAAUAAUGUAUUAGGUUCUACCAACUCGUUAUUUUCCAGACAGACUUCCAGGCAGAGCUCGGCUUAACAACCUUUCUAAGCUUGACCUCAAAUCAGGUAGGACUACCCGCUGAACUUAAGCAUAUCAAUAAGNCGGAGGAA